ACGCACGCUGGCGGCGUGCUUCACACCUGCCAGUCGGACGGAAAGGCCCUGCUUUUGUGGGGUGCUCGAGUGGCGAACGGGGGAGUAACACGUGAGUAACCUGCCCUUGACUUUGGGAUAACUUCAGGAAACGGGGGCUAAUACCGGAUAGGAGCUCCUGCUGCAUGGUGGGGGUUGGAAAGUUUCGGCGGUUGGGGAUGGACUCGCGGCUUAUCAGCUUGUUGGGGGGGUAGGGGCUUACCAAGGCUUUGACGGGUAGCCGGCCUGAGAGGGUGACCGGCCACAUUGGGACUGAGAUACGGCCCAGACUCCUACGGGAGGCAGCGGUGGGGAAUAUUGCACAAUGGGCGGAAGCCUGAUGCAGCAACGCCGCGUGCGGGAUGACGGCCUUCGGGUUGUAAACCGCUUUCGCCUGUGACGAAGCGUGAGUGACGGUAAUGGGUAAAGAAGCACCGGCUAACUACGUG
rnacentral:rRNA from 1 species